rnacentral:ncRNA from 2 species
UAGUUUUUUGUUGAUCUCGCUUUCGCGAAAGCGGAAUUAAAAAAGAACUUGAAUUAAAAGGGAAUCUAGUGUGAUUCUAGAACUGUUCCCGCAACUGUAGACAAAACGUUUAUUAGAAACGUCCUAAAAUUUUUAGGAUAAAAUCAUCAAUGCCACUGAGUACAUUCUUGGGAAGGCGGUUUUAUUUUGAAGUCAGGAGACCUGCCAUGAUUCAAUUAAUUGU